rfam:Puccinia sorghi strain RO10H11247 Scaffold_2475, whole genome shotgun sequence.
GGUCGAUUAGCUCAGUUGGUUAGAGCGCCGUACUAAUAUCUGCUUCAGCCUGCUCACGGCCACGGCAAGUUGCACAUGCGGAUGUCAUGGGUUCGACCCCCAUAUUGACCA